CCACAAUUGAUUUUGCAUGGUAGAGAGCGAUGGUCAUGUGGAAGCUCUGAAUAUCUCCGACCCAGGCGAGGUUGCUGCCUCGAUGCACAUUUUUGAGAUGCAGAAGCCCCGGCAUGAGAAAGUGUCUUUCAGCUGCUACCCUGUAUUCGCCUUCCUUCCUCCAACCUUGGACCCCCUCAGGACACAGAUGCUGGCGUGGGCCCGGCUUUGAACCCGCUUCUUUAAUUGUGGGGUGCUCGGCCCGUGCAGCUGUGCACGCCGCUACCGCUGCGCCGCAACGAGCGUCUCCCUCCCUGCGGCUCGUUUACUGUCAUUCUUCUUCACCAACGACCCCUCUCCCCUCCUUUGCUGCCCUCCCCGUCGUCUUUGUCUCUUUGAAGACCUGACUGGUUAGCGCCCCGGCCAAUCUGUUAGCGAAUGCUUGACUGGACCCCCGGAAAAAAGGCAGGGGCUCCCUCUUUGUUGGAGAGGGUGGCAUUCAGGCACA